rnacentral:rRNA from 1 species
AUUGAACGCUGGCGGCAGGCCUAACACAUGCAAGUCGAGCGGCAGCGGAAAGUAGCUUGCUACUUUGCCGGCGAGCGGCGGACGGGUGAGUAAUGUCUGGGAAACUGCCUGAUGGAGGGGGAUAACUACUGGAAACGGUAGCUAAUACCGCAUAACGUCGCAAGACCAAAGAGGGGGACCUUCGGGCCUCUUGCCAUCAGAUGUGCCCAGAUGGGAUUAGCUAGUAGGUGGGGUAACGGCUCACCUAGGCGACGAUCCCUAGCUGGUCUGAGGGGAUGACCAGCCACACGGGAACUGAGACACGGUCCAGACUCCUACGGGAGGCAGCAGUGGGGAAUAUUGCACAAUGGGCGCAAGCCUGAUGCAGCCAUGCCGCGUGUAUGAAGAAGGCCUUCGGGUUGUAAAGUACUUUCAGCGGGGAGGAAGGUGUUGAGGUUAAUAACCUCAGCAAUUGACGUUACCCGCAGAAGAAGCACCGGCUAACUCCGUGCCAGCCGCCGCGGUAAGAC